GUAGUGCUGAGGUCGUGAGAACCGAGCGAACCAGACUGCUUGCGGUCGGGCACUAAGCCAGUCAGUAAAUCCCCGCUGGCAGCACGGGUCGCGCAUUGGCCGCAGCAGUGCUCUCAGGAGAAGUAGCAGUGCGGUUACCAGAAAGGUUCCUCACUAGUGAAUGGCUUCCUAUGGUUACAAGGCAAGUUCACUAACCACCGAGCCAGUGCCACACUAUAGUCUGUUGUCCAUCAGCAGAGCUGUUCAGUCCUCGGAUGACUCAUCAUGUAUGCAGCUGCUGUCAUCCAAUCAGCAAGAGUCCCUGUUACACCUGAAGCCCACCAAUCCCAUGGUGAAGCUAUGGCCAAUUGUUGUCAAUGGCACUGACAGGGUUUGAUUCUGAACCAGGUGGUAUGCCACUGCACAAACGACUGGCACUUUCGGCUGUCAGGGAGGUCCGAGAAUUGGCAUUUUUGCUGCUUGGAAAAAAAAGUAUGCAGUUUGAAAAUGUAGUAAAAUGCAAACUCUUGCUAAUGCAAAGACAAGUUCCUGUUUACCUGUAGUUUGUAGUGCCUUCUUGUAGUGUGUUCUGUUUUGUUUGUCAGUAGCUCACUUAGUAUGGAAAAAUAAAUGCCACCACCUGUUCUGGCCUGUUAGGCAUGUUUGUUUUUUUUUCUCUAUGAAGGGCUUUUUUGGACCAUCUUUUUGGGAUUUUGUGGGUAGUGGUGCUGUGCUAUAUCCUGAGUGACAUUAAAAUUGUAUGUAAUUUGUCUAGACAAACUGGAUGUCCAUUGAGUCCCCAGAUACCAGCUUGUGUAAAGACAUAUUUGGCUUUUUCUUUGAUGAUAUAAGAUCACAGUCUAUCUCAGGUCAGUGUUCUCUUAAAAUCUAAAAGCUUGAAUUCGUACCCC